UGAAUACGAGACGCUACGGCGUCGAAGCAGUCUAUGUCAUACUUCCAAGAAAAGCUUGCACUGUCAUAAACAAAUAAUGCCUGUACCAUAACCGACACAGGUGGGUAGGUAGAGUAUACUAAGGGGCGCGAGAUAACUCUCUCUAAGGAACUCGGCAAAAUGACUCCGUAACUUCGGGAGAAGGAGUGCCUUAUUUAUAAGGUUGCAAUAACAAGAUCCAAGCAACUGUUUAUCAAAAACACAGGUCUCCGCUAAGUCGUAAGACGAUGUAUGGGGGCUGACGCCUGCCCAGUGCCAGAAGGUUAAAGAAGUUGGUUAGCAUUAGCGAAGCUGAUAAUGAAGCCCUGGUGAACGGCGGCCGUAACAAUAACGGUCCUAAGGUAGCGAAAUUCCUUGUCGGGUAAGUUCCGACCCGCACGAAAGGCGUAAUGAUUUGGAUACUGUCUCAGAGAGGGGCUCGGUGAAAUAGACUUGUCUGUGAAGAUGCGGACUACCUGCACCAGGACAGAAAGACCCUAUGAAGCUUUACUGUAACUUGAAAUUGAAAUUGGACUUUAUUUGCGCAGUAUAGGUGGGAGGCAUUGAUAAUAUUCUUGCGGGAAUGUUGGAGCCAUCAGUGAGAUACCACUCUUGUAAUGUUAGAUUUCUAACUUUGGAUCAUUAUCUGGUCAAAGGACAGUUUCAGGCGGGCAGUUUGACUGGGGCGGUCGCCUCCUAAAUGGUAACGGAGGCGCACAAAGGUUUCCUCUGAACGGGUAGAAAUCGUAUCUAGAGUGUAAAGGCAUAAGGAAGCUUGACUGUGAGACCUACAAGUCGAGCAGGGACGAAAGUCGGUCUUAGUGAUCUGACGGUGCUGAGUGGAAAGGCCGUCACUCAACGGAUAAAAGUUACUCUAAGGAUAACAGGCUGAUCUCCCCCAAGAGUUCACAUCGACGGGGAGGUUUGGCACCUCGAUGUCGGCUCAUCGCAUCCUGGGGCGGUAGUACGUCCCAAGGGUUGGGCUGUUCGCCCAUGAAAGCGGUACGCGAGCUGGGUUCAGAACGUCGUGAGAUAGUUCGGUCCAUAUCCGGUGUAGGCGUUAGAAUAUUGAGAGGAGCCUUCUUUAGUACGAGAGGACCGAGAAGGACAUACCUCUGGUGUACCAGUUAUCGUGCCAACGGUAAACGCUGGGUAGCUAUGUAUGGAGAGGAUAACCGCUGAAAGCAUCUAAGUGGGAAGCCCACCUCAAGAUAAGUAUUCUC
rnacentral:rRNA from 1 species